rnacentral:rRNA from 1 species
UACGUAGGUGGCAAGCGUUGUCCGGAUUUACUGGGCGUAAAGGGCGCGUAGGCGGCGUGUUAAGUCACUUGUGAAAUCUCUGAGCUUAACUCAGAACGGUCAAGUGAUACUGAUGUGCUAGAGUGCAGAAGGGGCAACCGGAAUUCUUGGUGUAGCGGUGAAAUGCGUAGAUAUCAAGAGGAACACCUGAGGUGAAGACGGGUUGCUGGGCUGACACUGACGCUGAGGCGCGAAAGCUAGGGUAGCAAACGGG